AAUAGAAGAGAAAAGGUGCUACUCCACCCGAUUCUCAAUUUUACAAAAAGACAAAAGGGUUGUCUUUUCCUUUUCUCUCCACCACCUCCGGCCAGCUGCUUUCGGCGACAUUCCUACGAGUCUUUCGGCCGGUAAGAUUCAAGUGUGGGUUUUGAAUCAAUUCUAGAGAAGAGUUUGAUUUCUUGAAUUGAAGACACUAACAAGUUUCAAGGGUUCCUAUGAGUACGAGAAUGCCGGUGGGCCGAGUCAGGAUUCCAUA